AAAAAAAAAAAAAGAAAAAAAAAAAACCCCUCAGUCUUCUGCCCUAAUCUCACUCUCUCUCUCUCUUGUGGCCAGUCGUUACUCUGUCUUUCCUCUUGUUCUCGCUGUUAAUACAUCAAAAGCCACAUAGAAGAGAGAGAGAGAGCGAGAGAGAUUGACGGCAGCCGGAAGUUCCACCUCCACCCAACGCCACCUCUGCACAAGAUGGCAUCGAAUCGGUGUUGGGACAUCGAUUAGCGUCAGCGCCAGCGCCACCACUGUCUCUUUCUCUUGUCCAUCCAUGGCCUCAUUGCCGUUGCUGCCUCACCCAGUUUCUCCCCACAGAUCCAAUUUUUGCCAGGUUUCUGAUUGAUGGAGCAUGGUUAAAGCACUCAGCCAAAGCAGAGGCAACCUGGAUAGCAUGGAUCAGCCAUUGUAGCAGAAGCUAGAGCAUGUUUUGAAGUGUUAAGAUGGUGCAUACAAAGCAAAGUGAUGUCAGUUACCAUCCUAACAAAUUGUCAAGUGUUAGUAAAGAGGUUCAAGGAAGGGAAUGCAGUAGAUAGAGUGGAAUCUGAAGUACAUCUGAAUGGACAUCUGUUAUCUAUAGAUUAUGUAUGUAUAACUGAAGUACCUAGGCUGGUAGUGCAAGCUGCACACGAGGCAGCAAAGUCAGCCUCUAUAAGGGUUUGUUUUGUGUUUUGUAAUGGUUUAUUUUGAUAGGACUAUAUGCACCUUAACCGUCCUCAAAUUUUUUUGCCAAAAGUCGAGUAGUAGCCCUUCAAAAUUGAGCAGUAGCCCUUCAAAAUGUGGAAUCCUCAUUUUCAAAACUUGGUGGGAUUUUCACUCAUUUGGCUACAAUGGUAGCGCAACAAGGGGAAUUGGCUAUCAGGAUUGAUGAUAACAUGGAAGAGUCAUUGACAAAUGUUGAAAGUGCUUGCAGUGCCUUGUUAAGGCAUUUAAACCAGAUAUCAUCAUACAGGUGGCUCAUGAUUAAGAUAUUUGCCAUUUUGAUAUUUUCUUGAUGCUGGAUUUAGCUACAUCUGGAAAAGGAGGAAUUGGGACUUAUAUUGGAAUAUGUAUGAUUAGCGGUGCUUUUGGAGUUGCAGAUGCUCAUGUUCAGGGUGGAAUGGUUGGAGAUCUAUCAUUCAGGCUACCCGAGUUCAUGCAAGUUAGUAUUUGUGGUUAGCUUAUUAUCUGAUCUAGUUUUGAAGUUUUGAUAUAAGCUUUCUUGUUUUUUUAUUCUUUAUGUCUUUUCUUGCUGUUUUGGCUGCAUCGGGGGAUCUAACCUCUGGCUUGAGAUUGAUUACAAAAGCAGCAUUUGAGAAUUCCAAGGAUGGCCUGCGCAAGGGAGCUAGUAUGUUCAAAUCCUUUUAGCUGUUUUUCAUAAAUUUUGUAGGAAAUAUGAUUCAAUAAGUAUUGCUACAUAUUGGGGUUACAAUUUUCUAGUUACUGUUUUGUGAAAGAGAUACUCAUCAAACUUAUGUCAACAUUUAAGCCAAUGACUCAAAGUAUGAACGUAACAGAGAUUAAGUUCAGGUAGGUAGACAAUGACCUUUUUUUCUCUCGAGUUUUUUCUUUAUUUUUUAUUUAUAAAUAUUUAUGGUUAUUGUUUUCCACCUAAACUACAAAUAAUAGGUUAUCAUUGUCAAUCUUUUUAGGUAGUUUAUUUUGAUGCAUUUUGUACUAUAUUUGACUUAUGUUUCCAAACCAAGUAUUUUGCUUGUGCCCUAUUUUGUUCAAAUUAAUGAAAUGUUUGUCCCGGAUAUUGACAGCUAA